rnacentral:rRNA from 1 species
GAGAGUUUGAUCCUGGCUCAGGAUGAACGCUAGCUACAGGCUUAACACAUGCAAGUCGAGGGGCAGCAUGGUCUUAGCUUGCUAAGGCCGAUGGCGACCGGCGCACGGGUGAGUAACGCGUAUCCAACCUGCCUUACACUCUUGGACAGCCUUCUGAAAGGGAGAUUAAUACAAGAUGUUAUCAUGAGUAAGCAUUUUCGCAUGAUUAAAGGUUUACCGGUGUAAGAUGGGGAUGCGUUCCAUUAGAUAGUAGGCGGGGUAACGGCCCACCUAGUCUUCGAUGGAUAGGGGUUCUGAGAGGAAGGUCCCCCACAUUGGAACUGAGACACGGUCCAAACUCCUACGGGAGGCAGCAGUGAGGAAUAUUGGUCAAUGGACGAGAGUCUGAACCAGCCAAGUAGCGUGAAGGAUGAAGGUUCUAUGGAUUGUAAACUUCUUUUAUACGGGAAUAAACGAAUCCACGCGUGGAUUUUUGCAUGUACCGUAUGAAUAAGGAUCGGCUAACUCCGUGCCAGCAGCCGCGGUAAUACGGAGGAUCCGAGCGUUAUCCGGAUUUAUUGGGUUUAAAGGGAGCGUAGAUGGGUUGUUAAGUCAGUUGUGAAAGUUUGCGGCUCAACCGUAAAAUUGCAAUUGAUACUGGCAGUCUUGAGUACAGUUGAGGUAGGCGGAAUUCGUGGUGUAGCGGUGAAAUGCUUAGAUAUCACGAAGAACUCCGAUUGCGAAGGCAGCUUACUAACCUGUAACUGACAUUGAUGCUCGAAAGUGUGGGUAUCAAACAGGAUUAGAUACCCUGGUAGUCCACACGGUAAACGAUGAAUACUCGCUGUAGGCGAUAUACAGUCUGCGGCCAAGCGAAAGCAUUAAGUAUUCCACCUGGGGAGUACGCCGGCAACGGUGAAACUCAAAGGAAUUGACGGGGGCCCGCACAAGCGGAGGAACAUGUGGUUUAAUUCGAUGAUACGCGAGGAACCUUACCCGGGCUUAAAUUGCAACCGAAUAUGGCGGAAACGCUAUAGCUAGCAAUAGCGGUUGUGAAGGUGCUGCAUGGUUGUCGUCAGCUCGUGCCGUGAGGUGUCGGCUUAAGUGCCAUAACGAGCGCAACCCUUGCCGAUAGUUACUAACAGGUUAUGCUGAGGACUCUGUCGGGACUGCCAUCGUAAGAUGUGAGGAAGGUGGGGAUGACGUCAAAUCAGCACGGCCCUUACGUCCGGGGCUACACACGUGUUACAAUGGGGGGUACAGAGGGCUGCUACCACGCAAGUGGAUGCCAAUCCCAAAAACCUCUCUCAGUUCGGAUUGAAGUCUGCAACCCGACUUCAUGAAGCUGGAUUCGCUAGUAAUCGCGCAUCAGCCACGGCGCGGUGAAUACGUUCCCGGGCCUUGUACACACCGCCCGUCAAGCCAUGGGAGCCGGGGGUACCUGAAGUGCGUAACCGCAAGGAGCGCCCUAGGGUAAAACUGGUGACUGGGGCUAGGUCGUAACAAGGUAGCCG